GACAGAGGGUGCAAACGUUGUUCGGAAUUACUGGGCGUAAAGCGCGUGUAGGCGGCCUCGCAAGUCGGAUGUGAAAGCCCUCGGCUCAACCGGGGAAGUGCAUUCGAAACUGCAAGGCUAGAGUCCCGGAGAGGAUAGUGGAAUUCUCGGUGUAGAGGUGAAAUUCGUAGAUAUCGAGAGGAACACCGGUGGCGAAGGCGGCUAUCUGGACGGUGACUGACGCUGAGACGCGAAAGCGUGGGGAGCAAACAGG
rnacentral:rRNA from 3 species